AUAUUAUUAAGCGGAGGAAAAGAAACUAACAAGGAUUCCCUUAGUAAUGGCGAAUGAAGUGGGAGUAGCUCAGGUUUAAAAUCUGGCAGCUUCGCUGCCCGAAUUGUAGUCUUGGGGAGUGGCAUCUCGGACGGCGCCCAGCAUAAGUCUCUUGGAAUAGAGCGCUAGAGAGGGUGAUAGCCCCGUUCAUGGCUGGGAGCAGCCGUCUUAUCCGUUGCCAUUCUUUAGAGUCGGGUUGUUUGGGAAUGCAGCCUUAAAUGGGUCGUAAAUUCGAUCUAAAGCUAAAUAAUGGUCAGAGACCGAUAGGCACAAGUA
rnacentral:rRNA from 1 species